rnacentral:rRNA from 1 species
UACGUAGGGGGCUAGCGUUGUCCGGAAUCAUUGGGCGUAAAGAGCGUGUAGGCGGUCCGGUAAGUCCGCUGUGAAAGUCGGGGGCUCAACCCUCGAAUGCCGGUGGAUACUGUCGGGCUAGAGUGCGGAAGAGGCGAGUGGAAUUCUUGGUGUAGCGGUGAAAUGCGCAGAUAUCAGGAGGAACACCUAUUGCGAAGGCAGCUCGCUGGGACGUAACUGACGCUGAGACGCGAAAGCGUGGGGAGCAAACAGG